rnacentral:sRNA from 1 species
AUCCUUCUGAGAAAUUCCUAAGGCUCAAUGCUGUGUGGAAGUUUCUAAGAAAGAAAAUAGUUUCCGAUCUUUGGGAUUCCCCUGAGAUGGUCCAAUCUGCAAAAAGUUCAUCGCCCUUUCCAUCAAGGACACUGAGAACAAGAGUCUUAUCCAGAUUGGAUCCUUGGAAUUGAGAAGCUUCAGCAGGGCUUCCGCUGGGACUAGGAUCAGGAUGUGCACCUCCCCAACCUGGACCGUCUGGCCGGGGAGGGCGUCAAGGCCAAGUACCUCAUGCCACCCUUUCUCACGAUGACCUCCCCGUCCCACUUCACUGCCAUCCUGGCCACUCCCAGAGCCCCUGGAAUUCUGGCCCAAGGCUCUCUGACUGACUCCUUCCCAGAUCUUCUUGGUAUAGCAGCUGAAGACUGACACUGCCCGAUCAAUCGCCUCGGAAGCCUACAGGACCAUCACAGAUGCUCUAGGUAACUCUCACAGUGGAGGACAGCUUUAAAGACUGCCC